UGGGGAAUAUUGGACAAUGGGGGCAACCCUGAUCCAGCAAUGCCGCGUGUGUGAAGAAGGCCUGCGGGUUGUAAAGCACUUUUGUUCGAGACGAAAUCGUGGAGGUUAAUACCCUGUACGGAUGACGGUAUCGAAAGAAUAAGCACCGGCUAACUUCGUGCCAGCAGCCGCGGUAAUACGAAGGGUGCAAGCGUUAAUCGGAAUUACUGGGCGUAAAGGGUGCGUAGAUGGUCCUUUAAGUCGGUCGUGAAAUUCCUGGGCUUAACCUGGGCGCUGCGACCGAUACUGGAGGGCUAGAGUUUGAGAGAGGAUGGUGGAAUUCCUGGUGUAGCGGUGAAAUGCGUAGAGAUCAGGAGGAACACUAGUGGCGAAGGCGGCCAUCUGGCUUAAAACUGACGUU
rnacentral:rRNA from 1 species